rnacentral:lncRNA from 1 species
AUGCUGUUCAGCUUUACAUAUGACUCUUGUCCAGUUCCACUUAUACUGCUUUAGCCCUGACCUAAAUUUUCCUCAUGCCAGGAACUGAUUCCAAAGCUCUUAAUGCUGUUUUUAAUCCCUCUCCAGUCAGUGGCUGCACAUGCUGAGGAAAGUGAGAGAAGUAAGGAUUUUUAGUUUGAUCUACAUUUCAUUCACUGGGUCCACCACCAAUGCCAGUACCAGACUGACGAAAGUGCAUUAUUAUGCCUUUAUUCAGAGUGUUUCUUCCCCCGCGUACCCGUGGAAACGACAAAAGAGCCCGACACCUUGCAUCACUGACAGGGACCCCUUCCCCGAACCCACUGACAAAGAACCAGUAGCAUCAAAGAUCAGUGAUGUGGGCCCCCCAGCCCUCCUGCUCAAUGACCAAGACAACCCUGCCAGCCGAAACACCUUUAACAGGGCCAAAGCAGCUAAAAUGUCCCAGCGGCCAGUGAGGAGUGGAACGCUGGGGCUCCCGCAACGAUCACCUGAUUGUCUUCGCCAUGGCAACAGCAGCGAUGCCCGGGCAGUGAGAGCAGUAUGCCUGCUGAUGGGUGGAGCUGCUGCUACCUCUGCCCUGGGCUACCUGGGCACUAUCUCUCCCACCCCACACACCACCAACACAGCAGACUUGACCGCAGCUGGAGACCUCUCAGGACUGGGAUCAGCGGGAGCACACCACACCUGCAGCCAGGCCGCUGACACCCCAAAUUUCCACAGCUUUGACUUUGAGGGUGACUCUGACUUUGACGCAUUUGAUUGUGGGGGAUUUGCCUUCUAAAGCAUAUCUUGAUAUAUUAACUUCUUAUCAGAAGCAAAAUGCAACCCUCUUAAAUACAGCUGUGCUUUCAUAGCUUAGAUAUGAUUUAUAGAAUAAAAGUUGCCGUCACCAAGAAUGUUUUUGUGUG